rnacentral:rRNA from 1 species
UACGUAGGGUGCGAGCGUUUGUCCGGAAUUACUGGGCGUAAAGAGCUCGUAGGCGGUUUGUCGCGUCUGCUGUGAAAACUGGAGGCUCAACCUCCAGCCUGCAGUGGGUACGGGCAGACUAGAGUGCGGUAGGGGAGAUUGGAAUUCCUGGUGUAGCGGUGGAAUGCGCAGAUAUCAGGAGGAACACCGAUGGCGAAGGCAGAUCUCUGGGCCGUAACUGACGCUGAGGAGCGAAAGCAUGGGGGAGCGAACAGG